UUCAGUCACGGUACAAUUUUUUAAAUGUCCCCCACGAGCGUGGGUCCUGUUUUCUGAUUGAGUUCCAUGAGGUAAGGAAAGAUAAUCCAACGUGGCAGACUAUGACGUCACUGGCCCUCUCCAGUAGCAGGCCAAGCAGGGAGCUCCUUUGAUCCUGGUAGCCUAGGUGUGAGAAGACGACAGCCCCACCCCUGCCGCACUUGCUUGUCCCUACUUAUAAGACCAAAAAGAACUUAAAGAGAGAUUUGGGGAAGGGGGGCGGGAUCACGGGCGGGGCCAACAGUCUUUAAAGACCUCACCUCACUUUCACAUUGCUGGCAAGAAAACAUCACAGUUGUCCUUUGGAAACGUGUUCCUCCUAAGUGUUUCUGUUUGUGAGUAAUUCAAAUCCUUCUGGCUGGUUCCUUCCUAAACGGAGAGGAGCAGGUGAUGGCCUAUUUAUAGUGCCAUUAGUCUAGGGAGACAAGUGCGAAGUUCGUGUUCCCCAGGCACACUACUUUGUUUUCCAGGUUAGAACGCUCCAACUUCAACCACGUUGAAUUAGGUACUCUUGAAUGGGUCCGUGAGAAAUUCAUGCCAGGAGAACUUAAGGGACUUAAGGCUCCCUUUUCUAAGUUGCCUUUGUUCUUCCCAUUUGUCCCUAAAGAGUCUCUUUUAUGUUCUGUUUUGCUUAGUUGAAAUGUUGGAAAGAUAGCCUUUAAAAAGUCUUUGAAACCUUCAUAGAUAAAUACCAUAUACAAUGUAUUUAAUCACAUCCGACUUCACUCCACUCCCUCAAUCUCUCCAGAGUCUAUCUCCCUCUCUUCUUUAAUACCAAAAGACAAAGCAAAACAAAAUAACAAAAACCUGGGGUCCAUUUGUGCCGUCCAUGUGUGCAUAGCAGUGAGAUUAUACAUUGGUGCAUGGGAAACCACCCUUUCUUGCAGAAGCCAUCAGCAGCCAACAGCUCUUCUGCUAGGGCUAGGGCCUCAUGCCAUUUUAAGGGGCAUCAUUGUAUUUCCUUAGUAUGCUCAUCAUUUCCACACCUGUCUUCAUUCAGCUAAAUCAUUGUAACCAGAGUUGGUAUUUCCUUAACUUGGCUGUCACCCAGAGCAAGAUCCACACACGACAUGAAAUGGAGUCUGUUCCUCCAUGCUCCUGGUUGGCUUCGUGCCCACUAUGUAAAUUUUCAGUGUAAACUGCAGACAUGUUCCAGGGAGGAUGCCUGGAUCUAGUCCAAAGGUUACCUUCUGGUGAGGAACAGGGCUCCAGCGUUCUAUGAAAGGAGAAAGGCCUGAGGGAUGUGGGCACUGUCUUCCAAUACCUCAACACAGGAGCAGAGACUGUGUGACCCCUAGGUUCACAAAGACUUAUCUCUCUUUUGUUUCUUGAAAAAUUGUAGGCAGUAUCUCCACUUUCAAACAGGACCCCCCCCCACCCCGUCCAGAUCUUCAAAGACAGUUAAGGUAGGAGCACCAGAGAUGUGGUUAAGUUAGAUGUGGUUGAGUUAGAGCCAUGCUUAUGUGGAUGGAGAUGCGGUCUUACUUCAGACUGAGCAGGCAUUGACUUCUGAGGGGUCUCAUCUUGGAGCACCCUCUGGAAUAGCUAAACCCUCAUGUGAUUCAACAGUGAAAUAGAUCUAGGAUUUUUUUUCUGCCUAAACUCUUGGAUAGUUUCUUUCAUUCCCAUGCAUCUGUCUGGUUUUGAUUUCCGUCUCUCUUUCAUGAGUUCUCACAGUGACAAAACGGGUGACAGUUUUCUUAUACACAGCUCCUAUCUUCUAGUAGAUUUGGGUCACAAAAUGAUCCCAGGGUAUUCCAAGUACAUGGAAAUCUUCCUGCUUUCUUUAUGUGAGUUGGUCUUGGAUUUAUAUUCAAAAUGAAAAGGGUGGGGGACUAGGGAUAUAGCUUAGUAGGUGAAAGACUUGCGCAGCAAGGAAGCUCUGGGUGGUUCCAACCACAACACCAUAUUCAACAGUCAUUGAGUUAUAUUCCUGGAAUCCAGGGCUGCAGACAUGAGGAAGAGUAUCAGGAAAUACAAGGUCAUUCUCAGUGCACUGUGAGUCCCAGGUUAGUGUGAGCUACAGGAAGCCUUGUAUCAAGGUAUAAAUGAAAGUAAAUAAAGAGGGAAAAUAAUCAUGUCUUUUGAUUUAGUAUUGUCUUAAUUGACACUUAAACUUUUAUAUCACCUGAUUUCAAACUGUGGUCCAUUUAUGGUUCUCUCAUUCUGACCCUAACAUUACUGGUCUUUGAUGUAUUUUCAUUAUUUCAUAAAAAUAAAGGUGACUUGAAACUCAACAGUAUUGUAUAAUUGCUUGUUUUCAGUCUAAAAGCCUAAACAUGAGGUUAAAUGUCAUUCUUGCUAAGACUUAUUCUAAGAUGACAAAUAAAAUAGAGCAAUUCUUGGGAUAGCUUGUAUAUAUACAUUCUGUUGAUAACAUGAACACUCUUUCUUUGCUUGCUGGUGAAAUUUUCAAUAAAAAAAACUGAUUUAUGGUUUUUUUG
rnacentral:lncRNA from 1 species